CCUACGGGUGGCAGCAGUCGAGAAUUUUUCACAAUGGGCGAAAGCCUGAUGGAGCGACGCCGCGUGGGGGAUGAAUGGCUUCGGCCCGUAAACCCCUGUCAUUUGCGAACAAACCUUGCUAUUUAAAAGAUGGCGAGCUGAUUGUAGCGAAAGAGGAAGGGACGGCUAACUCUGUGCCAGCAGCCGCGGUAAUACAGAGGUCCCAAGCGUUGUUCGGAUUCACUGGGCGUAAAGGGUGCGUAGGUGGUAAGGUAAGUCGGAUGUGAAAGCUCCGAGCUCAACUCGGAAAUGGCAUUGGAAACUACCUUGCUCGAGGGUUUGAGGGGGGACUGGAAUACUUGGUGUAGCAGUGAAAUGCGUAGAUAUCAAGUGGAACACCAGUGGCGAAGGCGAGUCCCUGGAAAACUCCUGACACUGAGGCACGAAAGCUAGGGGAGCAA
rnacentral:rRNA from 1 species